GAUGAACGCUGGCGGCGUGCCUAAUACAUGCAAGUCGAGCGAACAGAUAAGGAGCUUGCUCCUUUGACGUUAGCGGCGGACGGGUGAGUAACACGUGGGUAACCUACCUAUAAGACUGGGAUAACUUCGGGAAACCGGAGCUAAUACCGGAUAAUAUUUCGAACCGCAUGGUUCGAUAGUGAAAGAUGGUUUUGCUAUCACUUAUAGAUGGACCCGCGCCGUAUUAGCUAGUUGGUAAGGUAACGGCUUACCAAGGCGACGAUACGUAGCCGACCUGAGAGGGUGAUCGGCCACACUGGAACUGAGACACGGUCCAGACUCCUACGGGAGGCAGCAGUAGGGAAUCUUCCGCAAUGGGCGAAAGCCUGACGGAGCAACGGCGCGUGAGUGAUGAAGGUCUUCGGAUCGUAAAACUCUGUUAUUAGGGAAGAACAUACGUGUAAGUAACUGUGCACGUCUUGACGGUACCUAAUCAGAAAGCCACGGCUAACUACGUG
rnacentral:rRNA from 1 species